rnacentral:rRNA from 1 species
UACGAAGGGGGCUAGCGUUGCUCGGAAUCACUGGGCGUAAAGCGCACGUAGGCGGAUUGUUAAGUCAGGGGUGAAAUCCUGGAGCUCAACUCCAGAACUGCCUUUGAUACUGACGGUCUUGAGUCCGGGAGAGGUGAGUGGAACUCCGAGUGUAGAGGUGAAAUUCGUAGAUAUUCGGAAGAACACCAGUGGCGAAGGCGGCUCACUGGCCCGGUACUGACGCUGAGGUGCGAAAGCGUGGGGAGCGAACCGG